AACGAACGCUGGCGGCAUGCCUAACACAUGCAAGUCGAACGAGACCUUCGGGUCUAGUGGCGCACGGGUGCGUAACGCGUGGGAACCUGCCCUUAGGUUCGGAAUAACUCCCCGAAAGGGGUGCUAAUACCGGAUAAUGUCUUCGGACCAAAGAUUUAUCGCCUUUGGAUGGGCCCGCGUUGGAUUAGCUAGUUGGUAGGGUAAAAGCCUACCAAGGCGACGAUCCAUAGCUGGUCUGAGAGGAUGAUCAGCCACACUGGGACUGAGACACGGCCCAGACUCCUACGGGAGGCGGCAGUGGGGAAUAUUGGACAAUGGGCGAAAGCCUGAUCCAGCAAUGCCGCGUGAGUGAUGAAGGCCUUAGGGUUGUAAAGCUCUUCUACCCGGGAUGAUAAUGACAGUACCGGGAGAAUAAGCUCCGGCUAACUCCGUG
rnacentral:rRNA from 1 species